rnacentral:tRNA from 1 species
UUAAUUGAAGCUAAAAUAGAGGCAUAUCACUGUUAAUGAUAAAACUGGAUUCAAGAUCCCAAUUAAA